GAUCAUUUUUGCUGCUCUCCUCUGAACUCUCUCCAUUGUGUCCAUGUCACGGAGUCCUCGGGCGAUGCCCUGGAACUGCUCCCUACGAAGCUAGUCAGGACUCUGGGGAAGUCUCCUUUCUGUGAGCAGCCUGUCUGCAGGACACACAGCUCACACAGCUUCCACCUUCCUGGGUCUGACCUCGGAGCAUUCAGCAUCCUCUCUGCCCCUCCAUGCACUUCCCACAAUGAGUCCGCCCUGGCGGGGUCCUGGGGAAGCCAAAGGGUCCUGCCCCCCAACUCCGCUGUCAGACGUGACUCUCAGCUAGCCAGUAAAACAGA